UUUUAAACUCAUCCUGAAUGAAUGAAUGAUCUUAAGAAGGGUGCCCCACCACUGCAAGCUUUGCAUGUCUGUUUCAAGGUGCCCCACCACUGCAAGCUUUGCAUGUCUGUUUCAAGGUGCCCCACCACUGCAAGCUUUGCAUGUCUGUUUCAACUCAAGCCUAACCAAGCCGGUUCAAGCCUGUUCCCGGAUCAAAAGUUUAGAAUGAGCGUUGCUUUUCUUGUUUUUAAAUAAGAAAUCCAGUUGUGUGUGUGGUGGUGAUGAUGUAGCUCUCAGAGAAAACUCUCACCUAACAUAUGCCCUGGGUUGAAUCCCCAGCACUUCAAAAUAAUUAAAAA